rnacentral:rRNA from 1 species
GACGUAGGGCGCGAGCGUUGUCCGGAUUUAUUGGGCGUAAAGAGCUCGUAGGCGGUCUGUCGCGUCGAUCGUGAAAACUUGGGGCUUAACCCUGAGCUUGCGGUCGAUACGGGCAUGACUGGAGUUCGGCAGGGGAGACUGGAAUUCCUGGUGUAGCGGUGAAAUGCGCAGAUAUCAGGAGGAACACCGGUGGCGAAGGCGGGUCUCUGGGCCGAUACUGACGUUGAGGCGCGAAAGCGUGGGGAGCAAACAGG